CGGAUUUCACCAUAUUAGCCAGGCUGGUCUCAAAACCUGACCUCAAGUGAUCCACCCGCCUGGACCUCCCAAAGUGCUGAGAUUAUAGAUGUGAGCCACCUGCUUUUAACUUGUUCAGCUACAAAGGCAUGUCUGUGAAUGCACAACCAUAAUGACUCAUCAUGGGCCCAGAGCUAUGACAAUGAUAAGAGUGCUGGCUUUGAUGUGGUUGAAUGCUUGCUCACCGUCACACAGCUGGAGAGACACAACUGGAGUCUGUUUCAGCUGAUCAUCAUCUGCAUGGCUCACUUUCCAUUGGGAUUAAUUCAGACCACUUUUUAAUUUUAAGUUACUCUCAUUUUCAAAAUUUCUAUGGCAGGCCACCAUGCCAAUACUCAGUAAACAGAAGGUGAAACACAUCAAAAUGGGAAAGUACUAGGAAGGCCAUGGGAUUGAUGGAGAAAAUUGAAUCAUACAGAAUUUUAAUAACUUUAAGUAGUAAAUUUUAGAAGUAGAUAUGUAAAAACUUCAUGAUUUCAUAUUUUGAGGCAAUGUGUUAUCGCCUGCGAUAUGUGGCUUUAUCUAGAUCAUGUUUUCCAUUUUGCCACCUGAUCACAAUUUGCUCUUUUUUCCCUUUUUACUUGACUGACUGACUCUGCCAUGAGAAAAUGUGGUCUAGUCCAAAUUAUUUUUUAAAAUAUAAAAAGUUAUAGGUUGAGGCUGGGUGCAGUGUCUCACGCCUGUAAUCCCAGCACUUUGGGAGGCCGAGGUGGGCA